CUGCAAGCUGAACCUCUUUAAAGCCAACAAUCCACCCGCUGGUCACUGCCACAGAUUUUAGCAAAUGUGUGUGGUGUGGUGUGUGUGGUGUGUGUGUGUGUUCUGUGUGUAUUGUGUGUGUGUGUGUCUCUAUGUGUGUGUGGUAUGUGUGUGUAUGUGUUUGUGUGUGUCUGUGUCUGUGUCUGUGUCUGUGUGUCGGUCACAUGCCUGGUCCCCUGAAGCUGAAGCUGCAGGAGAUUGUGAGCUGUCAGAUGAGUGAGCGCAGGGAACUGAACUGUGGUUCUCUGCAAGAGCACUAAGUGGCCCUCAUCACAGAGCCAUGCUCUAGGCCCAGAAAUGCAAUUUUACUGAUGGUAAAAACAUAAGACGGUGUGUGCUCAAAUCCUAUGGCCUGAGUUGCUUCUGCCUCCUUGCUUUGAAGGCCCUGGAUCUGACAUGCUGGACUCCUCAGCCACAGAAGGCUCUCCUGUCACCCGCUGGGGAUGAGGACACCUCACUUGCCAGCAAUUCACCCUGCAGGAAGGAUAGCAUUCCAGACUGUGGCGCCUGUCCUCCGGAAGGACCUAGACGUCUGUGCGAGCUGUUAAGGUUCAGGGGGAUGAGUUGUGAUAAGGAGAUUGGAGGUCAAGACACACGGCUGGUUUUACUGCUUUGACUAGACCUUUAGAGCGUGUCUAACUGGCACAAGGUUUUCUCUGGAAUUGGGUGUGUGGUGCUCAUCAAGGGUGGAAGGUAAAGCACCCGGAGAAGCCCCAGGGCCCUGCCGAGAGGGCAGAUGCGCCAGGGUGAGAGGAUGAAAAGGUGAAGAAGAUGGAGAAGUUGUGCUGGGCCAUUUAGAAGGUAAUUUACGUAAAUGAUUGUUGGUGCCUAUGGUCAGAGACUUCGAUAUCUCCAUUUCAGAGAAGCCUGUAAACCAGUCCUUUUGUUUUGUCUCUAAAUUGUCUGUCUGUGAGUAUGUCACUCUAUAGAAUGUGACAGGCCCUGAGUCCGUUUCUCUACAGAGGGAUUAGUGCACAGACACUGGAGAUACAGUGGACUAGGCCACAGCAGCUGAGCUCCCCGAAGCACCAUAAGGAGGGUGGUGAGGGCAGAGGCUGCCAUCUGCGUUAAGAGCCUUGCUCUCUCCAUCCGUUUUCUGCCACUAACUGAGCUGCAGCUGGACAACGCUGGAGGCUGUUGAGUUGUUAUGUCCAGUUCUGGCUAGGCCUGGAGGUACAGAUUUUGAAUCCUGGCUACUUCUGUGAUUCCAGGAGAACCGGGAGCUCAAGGCCUUCGACUAUGGAGCAGGCUUCAACCGCCGAUAGAUCCCCGGCUAUGAGUAGGACUUGAGAGCCUGUCCUCCCCAUCCAUGCAGAUGUUCUGGCUGCUGUGUUCUUAUGCAGGUCUUGUGCGUGCAGUCCAGCCUCUGUGAGCUUGUGUGUGAGAACACCCUGUGGCGUCCAGCACACGAGGUUCUGCUGUGGUUUCCACUACUCCUGAUUGAACUCUCUGGGCCCCUCUCGUGCCAUGAUCCCUUAGUCCUGGGGGAGGAGGAUGGAAGUGUCUCGUUUUGAGGUAAGUACUCCAUAGCCUAUUAAUUAUUCUCUGUACGCUGACCGGUUAUGACUCUCUGGACUGAUUCUCACCUAACUGUAAAAGGAAGGCUCUUCCAUGAGGUUGAAGGAAACACUAAUCUACAGAUAUGAACAUGAGGACCAUGAGGCCAGUUUAAUCCUACGUCCAUCCAGCAGAAUAAUAGCACUAAGUUCUCCCCUUGGGCUUACGAUCUAUUCAGCCACCAGUUACCAUUAUUAGAAAUGGCUUCCGUCUUGUAGCGUGACUUUUAAAUCCAAUCGGAAAGUAGCUGAUCACCCCAUAAUAUUCACACUGCCACUGCACCGAUGGGCGUGUCCUGCCAGGGCAGUCGUAACUGUGGCUUGCAGGAUUCGCAGACGGUUAGCUUUUUACAAAGCCAAGAUUGCCCUGACACCAACCAAAACCAGGAAAAGGCCCAACCAAAAGAGAAGAUUAUAGGCCAGUCUCCCUGGUGGAGACAGAUGCAAAAUUUCUCAGUAUAUUUGCAAAUGAAAUUCAAGGAUAUAUCCAAAAUGUCACCCACCCAACAAAAUCAAGUUGGCUUCAUCCAAGAGAUACAGGGAUGGUUCAAUGUAUGUAAAUGCAAUCACAGAAAUCAUUUGAUCAUCUGAUCAGAUGUUAACAAAAAAAAAGGCCUUUGGUGAAAUCCAACAUCUCUUAAUGCUACAAGUCCUGAGGAAUAUGGUGAUACGGGGACAGUAUGUGGAGAUGGUAAAGGCAACACACAAACCCGUAGUCACUAUCAUGUAAAAUGGAACAAAAUGCCAAGCAUGUUCCUACUGUCAAGAGCAGAACGAAGCUGUCCACGCUGCAUUCCGCUCAAUGUUGUGCUUCUAGUCUUAGCUCUCAAAAGGCAGCAGGAGAGGGUGAGCGUAGAGAGGAAGAAGUAACCACACCCACAUCUGCAGAUGGUACGACUCCACCCCUUCAAAGCCUUAAGACUCCAGACAACGCCCACGGCUGACGGACGGACAGGCAGGGGAUCCAGAGUUCACACAUAGAUCAACAGCCUCCCUGAAUCCCAGGGGCAAACCUACAGAGAGAUAAACUGGGGACACGGUACCUGUUUAACAGUCUCAAAACAUCCUGGAAUAAAUCUAAACGGUGGAGUGAAGGACUUGUACACUGGAACCCUUAGGAUCCUGGAGAAAGAAACUAAGGACCAGAAGAAGGCAGAAAGACCUACCAUGCUCAUGGAUUGGCCAGAUUAACAGCGGAAGUAACGCAGUCCCUAUCAAAACUCCGACGCAGUUCUUCAUAGAAACUGAAAAACUCUCCAAAUUCGAUAUGGGGGACACAAAAGACUUAGGAGAUCCAAAAUAAUCCUGGAUGAUAAAACGCUUGGUGAAUGCAUCCCUGUCCCGGAUUUCAAGUUAAACAACAGAGCCACAGGAGUAAAGGAGCAUAGGUUCAUUAUCAAAAUAGGCACUGCAACAGUGCAAUAAAACCGAGAGCCGGAAAGACACCAGACACAUGUCCCCGAGGAUGUGACAGAGGAGCCAAAAACUGACAUGGAAUUCAUUAUUUCUCCUCUUCCGCAGAAUUCUCUGUAACUCUCUUACCUUGCUUCCCUUUGCACAGCACCUACCACCACCGGUGCCUUGCCUUGGUUUGGCUUUUGUUUGUUUGACUUUUGAGCUUUCCGCCCACAGGAAUGCGGUCUACAACAGGCCGGACAGAGGGAGAUGGACGCUGGAUGUCCAGGAAGCGCUCGGCGAACUCUCCUUGACUGCUGAAUGAACUUCACCCACGUGUCAUCAACAACCCAGCAUUUCCCACUUCAGGAGACAAAUAGAAGACAGAAGGCGACGGAUCAAGGGAAGAGAUGCGGGUCCUGCGGAUGCUCUGAGGUCAGCAGGUCACAGGUGGCAAGGUCUAGUUCCUUUUAUAGAUUCCCUAAGUAGGUGUACAUCCACCCCAGAGCUUGAAAUUAUAGACUGGAAAGUAAUUAAAUACAAGCAGCAACGGCACGUUCUGUUUUUGUGCAUGCAGCCAGGCCAGAGAAACGCCAGUGUUGGGGCCCAGGAGCUGUUGCCAUAGUAACAGUAACAAGCCUGACUUCUUAGGUGAAGAGCCAGAGCCAGUGUGUUCAUUAAUCUAUGGAGAGAAUGGCUUUUUAUCUUUUUAAAUCUGUACUUUUUGUACGGAAGAAAAGGCUGCAUCAUUCUUAAAAACGCCUAGUUGGUUUUGCCAGCCGCACGCUGCUGUGGCAAACACUAGAGAGAAGCGCUUGGAGGAUGUACCUUGGCAGCGCUUUCAGGGCUUCUGGUCCAUGUUACUUUGUCCAUGUGCCUGGGCCUGCAGUGAGAAAACGAUUCUCGGUGGAAGUACACUGCAGAGGAAACCUCACAGCCCAGCCAGCGGGAAAUGAGAGGGGAACAGGAAGCGCCAAGGCAACAGAUGCCCCCCAGUGUGCUUCCACCUCCUUCAUUUAGGCCCCAUGUUCAGAAGGGUCCGAGAAACCACCUAGCCCCCCAUGGUCACUGAGGGACCUUCAGCAUGAGAGCCAGGGGUGGGUGACAUCCCCUGCUCAGACCGUGGGCGUUGUCCACCAUUAUCUGCCUGGAUACUUGGUUUCUCAGAGAACCUGGCUUUCGAGGGGGUGCUUUUCCUCCUCCAGUCACACACAGAAGCUUGUUGAGGCUACAAGCCCUUAAGGAAAGAUGAAAUCAGCUUUAAGUUCGUUUUACAGUUUGGCAAAGGGAAAGAAACAUCCGAUUUGGGGCGAUCAGGUUCCACCCUAGUGGAGACGGCUGGCUCAGAUGGUCAGAGUGUGUUCAGUGAGAACCCCAAAGUAUUCCAAAGCAGCGUAUGUGUGCUCUUUUCCUUCACAGAUGUUGGGGGAGGGGCAAGCUGGAUGCUUUAGACUAAGUGCUGCUUAAGAAAACUGUUCUCGGGGCUGGGGAGGUGGCUCAGUGAUUAAGAGCACUGGCUGCCCUUGCAGAAGACCAGGGCUCAGUUUCUAGAAGCCACACGGCAGCUCACAGCCAUCUGUAACUUCAGCUCCAGGGCAUCGGAUGCCUCUUCCGGCCUCUGUGGGCACCAGACAUGCACAUGGUGCACAGCCAGCCAGGCAGGCAAAACACCCCCACACAUAACAUUCUACCAAGAUUUAUAAAAGAAGUCAAGUGUGUGAAACUACUGGGAAGGAGCAUGGGUGGGUCAGACAUAGACUCAGGCGAUGUUUGCCCUGUACACGUGCACAUGUGUGCACGCAUACAUGCAUGUGCAUGACCCUGUACGGCACAAAAGAAACCGAAAUGGAAGCAUGGACAAACUAUCAUAGUGAUAUUUAUAAUUGCAAGAUGAACAACACCCGCCUCUUGUCCUUUUCAGACAUCCUUCUACUCCGCUCUCUUUACUUCUGCCCACUAGCCCAGCAGUCCUUACUCACUGGGGAGGGAGCUGUAGUGCGGUGGCCGAGAACUCAGGUCGGAUACACAUCCCCAGCUCUGUAGGAGAAACUUCCUGUGGAAGGGUCUCUCUCUCUCUCUCUCUCUCUCUCUCUCUCUCUCUCUCUGAGAGAUUCCAGAACUAAUCGGUGCUUUACUUUCCCGGAAAAGGAAAUGUCCGGUGAGUUAUUACGCUAAUAAUCUAUUAAGUCAAAUUGAUAAAUUGUUAUUUCUCCUUUAGAAAUAAUGUGUAUUUGUUUUAGAGAGAUGGGACAUACACACACAAAAAAAAUCAAAUUACUCGGUCCCCAGCUCCGAAAAAAAAGAACCAAAAAAAAAAAAAUCAAAUUACUAAUAGAGAAUGACUCACACCAAUUACAUCUGGUAGCUCUGUUUGCUUGGUGGUUAAGAGUUUUUAAAACAUAAAUGUAGAUGCUACAUUGUUUCGUAUCUGGCAUCUCCAGUUUGUCAAUGUCUACUGUUUUUAUCCCCAUACUCCACACAAUAGAACAGCAAGAGGUGGAAACUGAACACUUUGUAUUUAAUUUAGAAUCAAUCAGGAACAUGUGUAAUGCAUUCUAAAAACCACUCAGCCAUCAGUGAAAUAUAAUGCAAACCUAGCCCAAAUCCCUGCUUCUCCAUAUAGAAUGGGGUAAGCUUCAGUCCUUUUGCCUUUCUAGGGUUCUGCUCCCCUCAUCUCUCCACUUUGGCUGGGUCUGGUCCUCCAUUAAGAAAGGCCGGCACAGUGAACGGGUACCAAUGGUUCAUCCCACCCCACCUCUUUCUUCAAUGGCAUUGCAUCCUUCCUUGAGAGCUUUCUGUCAAAGAGCAGAUGUCCAGUGUAUACAUGUGACACUCGGGAGAAAGGAAACGCGUGGAGGGAAGGAGACAAAAAGACUGUGAAUCCAAGGCUAGCCAGGGCUACAGUGAGUUUAAGGACAGCCUGGUCUACACAGUGAGCUUUAGGACAGCCAGUGCUACACAGUGAAACCUUGUCUCAAAAAACCUAAGGUAAGAUGAUGGCAUCGCCUUUUCAGCCCUGAGAGUGGAUCUCAACUUUGUAUUCAUUGGUGAUGCGGGGUGGCUUCCUUGCCUGGGUUAAAUUUCCAUGCGCACCUGGAAACAGGCCUCAUAUUUGUAUCCUGAACAAAAUAUUCAAGUUCAGCAUAGACUCACUCACUAGAGACAGCCAUGAAUUCCAACAGAGCUCUCGGUCUGAACUGUGACUAACGUAACUACUGUGGGAUCAGACUUUAUUUUUAGAAAUCAUUGUGUGGUUAAAAACGUCAUCACCCAGACAGGUUGAAGAUGUUGUGUCUCCAUGAACCCUGGUUUUAGUGCCUGGGUAUCAAAGCUAGAGAUUCUCUGGGUGUCAUCUUGAAGUGAUGGCUUUAAGGCUUCCCAGACUGGCACUCAGCGACUGGAUGUUAUCUACUCUGUUGCUUUGUAAAUGCCAUGAGAGGCUGUACUGCUUCACAUGGUUCCUCAGAGUUCACAUAUCCUCUGGAAUUUCACUCAUAGAUGCAUAUUUUAUGUGCAUCUAUGCAUAUUUAUAUAUACACAGACAUAUAUAUAUACAUAUAUAUGUGUGUGUAUACAUAUAUAUAUACACGUAUAUAUAUGUCUGUGUAUAUAUAAGUAUACACACGCGUGCGCACAUGUGUGUGUGUAAUGUUAUAUACCAAGGUAAAACAAAAACACCUUGUGGUCUCUCAGCUCAACCUCCAAGGUUCUCUUACAUUUAAUGUUUUCAUUUCUCACAGACUCUUAUUAACAUGCAUUAUUCAUGUAAAACAUGGGCUUUGUCAUAACGUUCUCCAUGCAUGUAAAGCUCUUUGACCACAUUCACCCAUGUCUCCCCUCCUAUUACCCCCCCCACCUCUCCUCUAAACCCCCACUUGUAAUUUUGCGUCUUUUAUGGACUCCACACGUGGGUAAACACGUGGUCAUUGUCUUGCUGAGUCUGGCUUACUUCACUUAACAUGAUGACUUCACACUGUUUCCAUUUUCCUGAGAUGACAUGUAUGAUCUGCUUCUUCUUUAUGUCUGAGUCAUGCUCUGCCAGGUUUCUCUACCAUUUUCUAUACCUGCUCUCCAGCUGUUGAGUGGCUGAGCUGGUGGCUGAGCCAUGGUGGGUGGUGCCACGGUAGGCACAGGUGCACUGCAAUCUCUGCGGAACGCCAACUGGAUUCCGGUGUACACUGCUGAACCAUGGCUGGCUCGUCCUGUCGAAGUUUCAGGUGCAGGCUUCAGAAGCCCCUCUCGGUUAUCCUCCAUACUAGCUGCACUCGCUCACACCCCCACCCGCAGUGGACAGGGCCCCUUUCUUGAGUCUCACUAGCAUUAGUUGUUGAGUUCCUUUCUGGUGGCGUUGUGGCUGUGGUGAGGCAAUUUCAGAGCAGUUUUGAUUUGCAUUUCUCCUUGUUAGCCAGUCAGCUUGUCCCCUGGUUGGCUGGUUUCUCGUCUUACAAGGAAGUCCUUGAGUUCUGUCUGUAUCCUGGACAUUAGCUCUCCGGCUGAUGGCUGGGAAGGGCUUUCUACCGUGUUCCUUCCAGGCUGUCUCUUCACUCCAGCAAUGGCUUCCCUGGAUGUGCAAUAGUUGUUAUGCUGUCAUUGGUCAUACUGGCUUUUACGUCUAAGCUGUUGUAGUACUGUAUGGAGAGUGAGUUUCUUAUCUGUAUAUCCUGCGUGUCUUCAAGGGCUACCACUACAUUUUCCUAUGGAAUUCUGACAUUGAGAACUUUGAUCUAUCUUGAGUCAUUUAAAAAUUUAUUAAUCUCUCUCUCUCUCUCUCUCUCUCUCUCUCUCUCUGUGUGUGUGUGUGUGUGUGUGUAUGUGGUAUGUACAUGUUUGUGUAGGUAUAUGCAGUGUGUGUACACGUGGAGACCAGAGCUCAAUGUUGGAUGUCUUUCUUGAUCAUUACCAACUCAUUUGUUGAGUCAGGGUCUCAGUGAAAUUGGAGCUCAUCAGUUUGGAUAGGCUGACUAUAUGGCUGGCUGGUUGGCCAAUGAGCUUGAAGGAUCUGCCUAUUUCUGCCCAUUACACCACAGCCCAGGGGUGAUAUUGUUAAGACUUGAACUGAGUCUUCACUACCAGGAGACCCCCACCCCCCAAGUGAGAUAGGAGAACAGAGUUUGAUGCAAACACAGGAGGUUUAUUUUCCGGGAUCAGGAUCAACCCUCAGUCAGCCCCUUGUGGAGAGUGACAAGAAGGUGACCCCGAUUGGCUAUUAUAAGCAGUUUUUAUACUUUUUAGGGGCACAGGUUACAUCAGCAAGGUUACAGUUCAAACUUAUUGGCUAAGCAUAUUGACCUUUAAAUCUAUUGGCUAGCAAGCACAACAGGCAUUUGAACUCUACCUGGGACUUGCAGAGAGUCAGUCAGUACAUUCUGAGAAUUUUUUACUUAGAACGUACCUGUGGGUGGAGAAUGGAGCUUGGCCUAGCCUUGUCCCCAGGCAGGAGGGGGAAGCUGUAAGGAGGGUGUGGGACUGGAACAGCCCUUAGGGUCCCUCCGUAUAUGUAUGCUGCUACACCCAGCUUCAUAUGGCAUCAGGAUACAAACUCAGGCUCUCAUGCGUGCACCACAGGCACUUCAUGACCACAGCCAUGGACUUGGGGCUCCAGAGGCUUUAAAGAAACUCGAGAAAUGCAGCAAAGUGUAGACAGGCAAGGCGAUGAAAUAACAAAGACAAUUUAUUACCCAACAGGAGAUCCAACACUUAGAAAGGGUCGGUCAGAAAUCUCGGAGCAGAGGAUCUCAACAAAUGAAAUAGAAGUAGUUACAGAGCUUGGAGCCUCAAAGCCAGACUACGUCAAGCAGGAGAACGUUGGGAGUAAAGUCUAACGGAGGAGACGAACAACCUCCAUAGUCAAAGUGAAAAGCACCGGUGGAAUUGAAGACAUUGGAAGAUGGAGGAUCUCCUGUCAUGGAUCAGUAGACUAAGUGGAGGAGCAUAGUUCAGAGCUCCUGAAGACACCAGUGAUAGUCGUCACAGGAACUUAAAAAAAAAAAUCUAAAAUUCACAUAAGAGAAAUGCAACCACGUUAGUAGUCAGUGCUUGAGAAACUGUAGGAGAAUGGACCCAGACCCAACCUAUCACACAGCACAAUAAUCAGCCCUACCUAUUACACAGUACAGUAGUCAACCCUACCUACUACACCGUACAAUAAUCAACCCAAGGUCUAGGGAGUGGCUCAGUGGCACAGAGUGCUUGCUGCUCACAGAGGACCCAAGUUCUGUUCCCAGAAUCCACACUGCGUGUCUCACAACCACCUGUAACUCCAGUUCUGGAGACCUGUUUGCACCUUUCUGGUCUCCAAAGGCUCCUACACUCAAGUGCACACACACACACACACACACGCACACGCACACGCACACACGCACACGCACACACAAACACACACACGCACAUACACACACAAACACAUACACAUACACAAACACGUACACACACACAAACACACACACAUACACACACACGUACACACACACACAAACACACACACACACACACACACACACACACACACACACACACACACCAUUUCAAUACUUUGAAGGAAAUGUUUAAUUUUUUCCCCCGAGAUAUAGUUUCACUUAGAAGCUGAGCCUGAAACUCAGCACAGAUUACUGAAUUUGUGGCAAUAUUUUUGCCUUGGGCCUCCAGGUGCUGUGAUUAAAGCUGUGAGUUAACACAUUGGGCUUCGACCAGUAUGUGUAGCAGAUCUGUCACUGGAGGUUUCUCUUCUGGAGUGGCAUGCAUGUUAUCUGACUUUUUAUCUUCUACACUCCCCAUGUUGACAUCCGAACACCUGGAAAGGAGGUUCCCUCGAUUGUUUCUCUUUUCUGUGAUAGUGGGGUCGUUCACACCUCUGUGAGCUUUGUUCUCAGACUCUCUCACUGUAUGUCUGAAGGACGGUGUCCAUACAGACACCUAUGUUUUUCGAGUUCUUUCUGCCUUCACUUCCUUGAGGGUCCCAUUAUCUAACUUCCGAGUAUCUGGCAAGAGAGAUCAGAAGAUGGACAGCAACAGCUAACACCCCUGAACUGUGCUGUACACAGCACAGGAGGAGCAGGCAAAGCGGCCCUUACUUAAAGAAGGGCAGCCCUGGGUUCGGUCCCCAGCUCCAAAAAAAAGAACCAAAAAAAAAAAAGAAGGGCAGGACGAUGAGACAGCAAGGUGAGGGAAGCGUUCAAGCAUGGCGGAAGGGAGCAAAGAGACUUCUGGAGAACAUGGAGAGAGCCACUUCAGGAAGGGCUAAGGAGGUCACUAGAGAAGGUGUUCCUGGGGGGCACCCUGCACAACCAGAAGGCAAUAACCUUGGAGAGCCUAAGGUGGUGGGUUGAGGGGACCCUGAUGAACCGGUAAACGAGGCCUCAUGCUCAGUGGGGUCAGGGAGGAGAAACUGAAGCUCUGAGAGAAGGACGGGGUGCAGACAGGGCUCCAGCUGUCCCCAUUAAAGUCAUCCAACUUUGGACACCAACACUCAGAGAAAUUUGUUUCAUGUCUCCAAAAUAGUUGUCCCACAGCCUUCCCUUUAAAUAGUCCACCAUGUGACACGGUGAAGCUUGAAAGUGCACAAGGGGCAGGAACGUUAGCUCUCAUUUCUGCAAAGCGAGUCUGAGGAUGAACAUUGCUUGGGUUGGGGGGUGGGUCCAGGAACGCUGUGGAUUAGUAAGGAGUGACGGGAAAAUACUUAGUCACCGUGACUCGUCAUUUCUUCAUCCCUACAACUGGGUACUUAGCGCGUUAACUCACUGGGCACUGUGAGAUUCAUAGGUGAGUCAAACUAUUUAACAGUGUACCAGAUAGAUGAGACCAUGGCUUCCUUCACCUCCCAGACUGCUCUGGAUGCCUGACUCCACUGACCUCUGCCUUUUAAUACUGUUUUCUAUUCUCCAUCAUGUCUGGUAGACAAUGAAAGACCCCCUCCCAGAAAGGGAAUUGUACAAGCCCAAGGCCCUCAACUAUAGAAGUAAAAAGUAAGUUUUUAGAUAUGUGGGACAAGCUGACCCAUCAUUUAGACGAAACAGACCAGAAAAGAAAACAAAAUGCAGAAACCAGACUAAAUUAUGGGCACUGCUCCAUGGGCCACCUGGCAGGAAAAAGAAAAAGUCCCUGACCCCCCGGAAGCCCUGACCACCAUGUACUUUUUGCUAACUCACUGUUAUGAUUAUAGCCAAAAUAGGUAAUGUACACGUAUGCCUCAUUUACUCCACCAAUCACAUCCCUGUAACCAUGCAUCUGCUUCUGUAAGCCUGCUUCUGCUCCCAAUACACUAUAAAAACCCGUCCCUGGUUCUGCUAGGCGCACCAGUCUUCCGAAUUGACUGGGACGCCCACAGAUACCUGUGUAUCCUGAUCAAUAAAAAUCCUCUUGCUGAUUGCAGCCUGUGGACUCGGACUGGUCAUUGGGCUUGAGGAUCUCCCUCCUGAGGGAAGAUUCUCUCUGAGAGUCUUACAUAUGGGGGCUCGUCCGGGAUCGGAGAUCCUCUGCCUAGAGACCACCGACCACCCACCGGGAGGUAAGCUGGCCAGUGUUUGUCUUGUCCUGUCUUGUCUUGCUUUGUGACUUGUUCUGUAAAUGCUUAGUUACUUGGCUUGGGUCUAGACCGUUUGUAUUUGGGCGGGCCAGAGAAGGAGCUGACGAGCUCGGACUUCUCCCCCGCAGCCCUGGAAGACGUUCCAAGGGUGUUUAGAGCCCGGUUUUUCGGGGCUCAGCCUGUAUCGGAAGGAUACGUGGUUUUGGGUUGGAGGAGAGAGGAGAGAGCCGGAUCCACUGAAGGAUCCGGACCCUUGUCGCCUCUGUCUGAAUUUUUGGUUUCAGUUUGACACCGAAGCCGCGCGGUGCGUCUGUCUGUCUGACUGUUGGAAUUGUUUGUCUUCUUUGUGUCCUAAUUUUCUUUGAACAUCUGUGGAAAUUGGUUAUAGGAUGCUUUGUCUUGGUCUUGUUUGUCUGGGUUGUUUUCUGUGGUAUUGUCGAGUGUCUUUUUGACUUUUGUUUCGUUUUUGGACUUUGGAUAGAUGACUGUGUUUAAAAUCUUGGACUGACGACUGUGUUUAAAAUCAUGAAACUAUUUGCUUUGUUUGUCAAGGAGUUUUACUUGAUCCUCUUGGUGCUUAACUUGGAAAUAAUUUGCUUGAGAAAAAUUGUUUUCUGCUAGGGAGUUUUAUCUUUCUCUCUUAGCCUCCUCCCCAAGGAGAGAUGCCCCUCCCUUUGCUCCCCUUGUCCAUUCUAGCUGCUGUUAACAGUUGUGUAUGAAGAACUCCAGGUUAGUGAGUGACCCUGUCUGAAGCAGGUAUUAACAAGAGCCUGAAAGCUUUACCUUAGAUCCUGAAGAAAAAUUCUCCCUGUUGCUUAAACAUUCACAGCUUCUAAGGAAGGGACAGCACAGAGUAGGAAAAUAUAGGGGCUGAGGGUGACAAGCAUGCAGGCCUGCUAGCAAGCUGCAGGCUGCGCGUGGGCAGUGGCGCAGCUCAGGCCAAGUCAGCGUAAGAGGAGUUUCAAGGUGAUGAGGCCGGCUGGGGUUGACGCUUUGACAACAAAAAGAUAGGUAUAAAGUUAGUGGUUGUUUUAUGAGACUUUUGGCCCUGAAAAAAUAAUAAUUCCAGUUGCUGCUUUCAGUGGCCAGACCUUCAACACUUGCUCACAGAAGGAGAGUGUUCAUUAAGAGAAGUUCUUUAAGGGAGCCUGCCUUAUCUGCUCGCCCUAUUCCAAGAAUUCCAAGAGAGGAAUUGAUCUCCAACAUUAAGUAACCUUCCCUGUUAGUCAUCAUUGACAUGGAGAGUGCCUUUGAUCCUAUCCCCACAGCAGCCAGUUCCUGCCCCUGUGGUCAAAAUGCCCCAGGUUGGGAGACAGAGAAGCCCCUGAGAUAGUUUCGGAGGGAAUCUACAACAAACUGUGAUGAACUUUGUUUUGCCAGUCAAAAUUUAGAAUUCGGGCUUUGGCUGUGGCCAAGGUCAGGAUUAAUGUUUUCUUUUCCAUGGGCCUUUAGCCCACUGAGACAGUUUGGUAAAGGGCUGCUACUGAGGUCCUGAAAGUCCCAGGUGAACUGGUUACAAUUCUUUUGUCAGCCACUUGGCAUCUAGCACCCAGGUCCUAGCCAUCUCUCCAUCCUUUUGUUAUUAGUUCUUAAGUCCAGAGAGAUAGUCGGGGUAACAGAUCAGCUCCCUCUCUGCUUGCCGUUCUGUUUCACAGACACAAAGCUUGUGCUUAUUUUUACAACAGCCUUUUUGUCCCAAAAAGUCCUCCUGGUUUAGCUGUGUGACUAAAUGCUAUUUGUCCUCUUCAGUGGACCUCUAUUCUCUAGAUUCUCUUGUUUUCUCACCAUCCCAUUUGAGAUGCUUGUUAGUAACUGUUACAGGUCUUCUUUACCACUGAGGAAAGACGGAAUCCUACUGGAGGCCAGAAAGAAUGUUCCAGACAUGGAUAGAAGACCCUCACUCCUGACUGUUGACUUGAAUACUCCUGAAGGUAGGGAGUGCUCCAGGUCUGCCACCAGGCUCCAAGGGUGGGUCUCCGAGGGGCUGGAAAAUGCCCCACCAAUCUGGCUAAGAUAAGGAAAAGAUAUAAAGAAAGAAAGUUACAGAAAUUUGAAGGGUUAAGCUAAGUUGCUGAGAGUUAGUGUAAGUUGCAGAGAAAGUAAAGUUGAAGUGUAGUUACAUAAGUGGACAGCCUCUAAUAGCUGUAGAGGAAGAUGCAGAAGAUAUGAGAGAGAGACUGAGGAAGAGAAAGAGGAAAGAAGGUAAAAAGAGCAGGAAGCUAAGGAAGAAAAGAGACAAAAGGAAAAAGAAGCUAGAGAGCUAAAGAGGGAUAAAAGACAGGAGAGGAAUAUAUACUGGCCACAGUAGUUAGGAAACCUAGGAAGACAGUACCUGGCAACAGAAGAGAAUUCCUAGCUAAAGAUUAGUGUGCCUAUCGCAAGGAAAAAGGACACUGGGUCAGGGACUGCCCCAGGAAGAACAAGAAGGGCCUCUCCAGCAACCCGGAAGGCAAGCCUCUUGGUUCUAGAGUGCUGGCUAUGCGCUAAGAUAGAAGGGAAGCCGGCCCAGUUGUUUUGUGAAUACGGGGGGCCAACACUCUGUGCUCCUACGCCCAAAUGGGCUAGUGUCCAGCAAAAGACCUUGAGUACAGGGGACUACCGACAACAAAUGAUACUCAUGGACUACCCGAAGAACAGUGGACCUUGGCGUGGGCCGGGUAUCCCACUUGUUCCUUGUGAUUCCAGACUGCCCCUACGAGUCUAAACCCUGCAACCCUGCUCCCGGACCCCGACCUAGACACCCCCCUUCAUGACUGUCAGCAGGUGCUCACUAAAGCACAGGAGUGGCAUAAAGAUCGGACUGAUCAGCCAACAGAUGGGGUAGAUGCCAUCUGGUUCAUAGAUGGGAGCAGCUUCUUAGAGAAGAAAAAAGAUGGGCUGGGGCAACAGUGGUAGAUGGAAACAGAAUCAUAUGGGCUCAGGCCCUACCAGAAGGCACUUCUACUCAGAGGGUAGAGCUCGCUCCCCUCACCAAAGCCCUUGGGCUGAGAAAGAGACUUAACAUCUAUGUGGACAGCACGUAUGCCUUUGCUACAGCCCAUCAGCAGAGGGGCCUGCUGACAUCUGAGGGCAAGAAAAAAAAGAGAUUCUGGCUAUGUUAAGGGCCCUCCAUGACCCAGCCAGGCCGAGGAAGAGACUCUGGUACACCUCAACGAGAAAGAAGAUCCUGCUACAAAAAUAGGCAGAGGCCAUGAUAAAAACAAAUGCAUCAAUGGACUCACUUAGGGGUAAGCAAACUCAUCCAGACGUUUUCAAAAACUAAAUAUUAUGUCACAGGUCUCAAGUAUCUCGUGGAACAGAUAGUGCACUGAUGUAUACCAGGCCAAAAGGUAACUGUUUUCAGGAAAGUUGACUGUGGUAUGAGGCUCCAUGUGGAACGGCCUGGAUACUACUGAGAAGUGGACUUCACAGAGAUAAAACCAGGAAAAUAUGGUUAUAAAUGUCUCCUAGUGUUUAUAGAUAUCUUUUCAGGAAUAGGUAGAAGCUUUCCCCACCAAGCAAGAGACGGCCUCAAUAGUCAUUAAGAAGAUACUAGAAGAAAUCUUCCACAGGUCUGGAGUGCCCAAGGUAAUCUGGUCAGACAACAGCCCUAUUUUCGUUGCCAAGGUAAGCCAGGGUGUGGCCAAGUAUUUAGAGAUUGAUUGAAAAUUACGUUAUAUUUACAGACCUCAAAGUUCAGGACAGGUAGAAUAAAUAAAUAAAAUUUUAAAAGAGACCCUGACCAAAUUGACCAUGGAGACUGGCGUAGACUGGGUGACACUCCUUCCCUCUUGCUCUCUUCAGAGCAAGAAAUACCCCUUCCAGAUUCAGCUUUACCCCCUUUGAGAUCUUAUAUGGGGCCUCAGCUCCCCUGACUAUAUUAGAUGAUGUUACUGAACCAACAUGUCAUAGUAAUAAUGAUUUGUAUGCCAGGCUAAAAGACCUACAGGUGAUACAGAAAGAAAUCUGCUCACAGCUGACAGCAGCCUAUGCCCCGGAGACCCCUGAGACAUCCCAUCAGUUCCAGGUUAGAGACUACAGCUACACUGAGCCCAGACACUCGAGCCUCGCUGGAAAGGACCGUACCUGGUGCUGCUGACCACCCUGACAGCCAUCAAGUCUCAGCCCUCACCAGCAGCGUACUAGCUGUUGGGGCUGAGAGCUGGGACCUAGAGGGACACUCAGAUCUUCAAAAAGCUCCCUAGACUUAAGUGAUUGAGAGGUUGCUAUAAUGCUCACUUGAGGAGUGUGUUUUAGAAACAAGAAUUUCAUGUUUGCCUGUUUGCCCUGGGUUCCCUCGGAAUAGGUGUAAGGAUAGGCUUGAUUUUUAUUGCAAAUGAUGUAAUAUUACAUAUGUUAGUACUCCUAACACUUCUUGGGACUGUACCUCAGGGAUCACAAUCUGUAUAAGUUUAGAAGUUCUAAAAGACCUUGGUGUAUAGGUUCAGAUAGUGUCCAGAUUAGAAUCCUGAUGCUAAAGACUUAAUAAGACACAAAAGAGAGUUCAGAAUUAUUUAAGGCUAUCUAGGUGCUACAAGGGCAGCACAAGGACAUCUUCAGUUGCCCUACAAUGCAAAAAAGAAUAAAAAAGACUUUUUAGCUGACCUCCAAGAACACCUAACCUCCCUCUCAGAGGUAGUCCUUCAAAAUAGGAAAAGAUUAGACCUGAUAUUCCUUAAAGAAAGAGUCUGUGUGCUACACUAAAAGAAGAAUGUUUCUAUGCAGAUCAGACAGGAAUAAUAAGAGAUAUAGUCUUUCAGUCAUUCAAACUUUUGUGCUGAGACAACAGUAUCAGAUGGUUAAAAAAAAAAAACAAAAAAAAAAAAAAACAGAGGUACCUUAACCAAGUUGAGUGGAAGAUUCCACUCAAGGACAAAAAGAAAAUGGGGGAAUGAAAGACCCCCUCCCAGAAAGGGAAUUGUACAAGCCCAAGGCCCUCAACUAUAGAAGUAAAAAGUAAGUUUUUAGAUAUGUGGGACAAGCUGACCCAUCAUUUAGACGAAACAGACCAGAAAAGAAAACAAAAUGCAGAAACCAGACUAAAUUAUGGGCACUGCUCCAUGGGCCACCUGGCAGGAAAAAGAAAAAGUCCCUGACCCCCCGGAAGCCCUGACCACCAUGUACUUUUUGCUAACUCACUGUUAUGAUUAUAGCCAAAAUAGGUAAUGUACACGUAUGCCUCAUUUACUCCACCAAUCACAUCCCUGUAACCAUGCAUCUGCUUCUGUAAGCCUGCUUCUGCUCCCAAUACACUAUAAAAACCUGUCCCUGGUUCUGCUAGGCGCACCAGUCUUCCGAAUUGACUGGGACGCCCACAGAUACCUGUGUAUCCUGAUCAAUAAAAAUCCUCUUGCUGAUUGCA